rnacentral:rRNA from 1 species
UAGGGAAUCUUCGGCAAUGGGGGCAACCCUGACCGAGCAACGCCGCGUGAGUGAAGAAGGUUUUCGGAUCGUAAAGCUCUGUUGUAAGAGAAGAACGUGUGUGAGAGUGGAAAGUUCACACAGUGACGGUAACUUACCAGAAAGGGACGGCUAACUACGUGCCAGCAGCCGCGGUAAUACGUAGGUCCCGAGCGUUGUCCGGAUUUAUUGGUCGUAAAGCGAGCGCAAGCGGGUUAAUAAGUCUGAAGUUAAAGGCAGUGGCUUAACCCUUGUUACCGUUGGAAACUGUUAGACUUGAGUGCAGAAGGGGCGAGUGGAAUUCCGUGUGUAGCGGUGAAAUGCGUAGAUAUAUGGAGGAACACCGGUGGCGAAAGCGGCUCUCUGGUCUGUAACUGACGCUGAGGCUCGAAAGCGUGCGGAGCAAACAGG